AUUAAAGUUGUUGCGGUUAAACGUUCGUAGUUGAACUUGUGCUUCAUACGGGUAGUACAACUUACAAUUGUGGUUACUACUAUACCUUUAUGUAUGUAAGCGUAUUACGGUGGAGUUCUUAUAUAUAAUUAAGUACUUGUAUUUUUUUAUAUAUUCCUCCUAUUUAAAAACCUGCAUUAGUGCUCUUCAUCGAGUGUUAUUGUGGGCCGGUACAAUUACUUUGAACAAAUUAGAGUGCUUAAAGCAGGCUUCAAAUGCCUGAAUAUUCUGUGCAUGGGAUAAUGAAAUAAGACCUCUGUCUGCUUUCAUUGGUUUUCAGAUCAAGAGGUAAUGAUUAAUAGAAGCAGUUUGGGGCAUUAGUAUUACGACGCGAGAGGUGAAAUUCUUGGACCGUCGUAAGACUAACUUAAGCGAAAGCAUUUGCCAAAGAUGUUUCAUUAAUCAAUAACGAAAGUUAGAGGUUCGAAGGCGAUCAUGAUACCGCCCUAGUUCUAACCAUAAACGAUGCCAGCUAUGCAAUUGGGUGUAGCUACUUUUAUGGCUCUCUCAGUCGCUUCCCGGGAAACCAAAGCUUUUGGGGCUCCGGGGGAAGUAUGGUUGCAAGCUUGAACUUUUAAAGGAAUUGACGGAAGGGCACCACCAGGAGGUGGAGCCUGCGGCUCUUAAUUUUGAUCAACACGGGAAAAACUUACCAGGUCCGAACAUAAGUGUGUAAGGACAGAUUGAUAGCUCUUUCUCGAAUCUAUGGGUGGUGGUGCCAUGGCCGUUCUUAGUUCGUGGAGUGAUUUGUCUGGUUAAUCCGAUAACGAACGAGACUCAAAUAUAUUAAAUAGAUAUCUUCAGGAUUAUGGUGUUGAAGCUUAUAUAGCCUUCAUUCUCAUGGUGGCAUAAGUAAAAUGUUUAUGUGUUUGAAUGUGUUUAUAUAAGUGGAGCCGUACCUGUUGUUUGUCCCAUUAUAAGGGACACUAGCUUCUUAAAUGGACAAAUUGCGUCUAGCAAUAAUGAGAUUGAGCAAUAACAGGUCUGUGAUGCCCUUAGAUGUCCUGGGCUGCACGCGCGCUACAAUGAAAGUAAUCAACGUGUAUUUCCUAGACCGAGAGGUCCGGGUAAACCGCUGAACCACUUUCAUGCUUGGGAUUGUGAACUGAAAACUGUUCACAUGAACUUGGAAUUCCCAGUAAGUGUGAGUCAUUAACUCGCAUUGAUUACGUCCCUGCCCCUUUGUACACACCGCCCGUCGCUACUACGAUUGAAUUAUUUAGUGAGGUCUCCGGACGUGAUCACUUGUGACGCCUUGCGUGUUACGGUUGUUUCGCAAAAGUUGACCGAACUUGAUAUUUAGAUGGAAGUAAAGUCGUAACAAGGUUUCCGUAGGUGAACCUGCGGAAG
rnacentral:rRNA from 1 species